AAGCCGUGUUGGUGUUGGAGCUAAUGACGUCACCUACAUGGUGCCUUCAAAGACUCGUAAAAAAUACGGUAAUAUAAAAGAAGAACGUUAGUGGAACGGGUCCGGCGGGUUCUAAAAGUGGAAGAAAUCGAUCUCUCUCAUGUCCGUGGGCGUGCCGGCCCUUUCGUCCUCCAUCUCGUCGCCCUUCUCCGUGGGAGCCUCUGCCAGGCCGCUGCUCAGCCGCUGAUGGAGGGCACACUCGAUCAUGCGGCUGUAGUACUGCAGGACCACCUGUAGGCCCACACAGAGAGUCUGUCAGAAAGCUUGAUGGCAAAGAACCACGGCGGCAUGGUGGAUGUGGGGGUUGCACUCACCAGGUCGGCCUGGCACAGCUCGGCCAGCCUUAAACUCAUCGCGGACCGCUGAGUGCGCCCCCUGUCGCUCAGACCUCGCAGGGCGCAGUUGAGCGACGCGGCGGCCAUGAGUGAGGGCGGUGUCCCCAGGAAGCGGGGUUCGCAGACGCACAUCGCCGCCAGCGUGUCGCUGUGCCGCCGCAGGGUGGUCCGCUCCUGUUCCGAGUCGCCGCCCUCGCUCCAUUCCUGCACCGAGGCCAGGAAGUGCGGGAGGAAGUCCUGCGGGGUCACGGCGGCUGUGUCCCAGCGUAGGGUGCCGAGCACAACGCGCUCCAUUUCCUGGUUGGGACAAGUCAAUCAUAACACUGUGGUCGGACGGCAGGAAGUUGUCGUCUGCAGCGGCACAGAGGGCGUCUGAUUGGAUGUUGUCACACUCCGUCAGCUUGGAGGCGAUGAGGACGCAGGCGGCGGCCAGGCAGUGCGGAGACGCGGGCAGGGACAGCGUGGCGGACAGGAAGCGGUCCAUCAGCGAGACCGACAAGGGGAAGACGGCCUCAUCGCAGCCGCAAACGCAGCACACCUGCGGAAAAGUCUAAUACAAAUUUAGGCAACAAGAGAAGUAUCCCACUCUUUUGAGAAGUAUCCCACUCUUCUCAAAAAUGACUAAUGAUCUACUGCUAACGAUGGAUUCUGAUGCGUCAUCUAUGUUGCUGCUUCUUGAUCUUAGCGCUGCUUUCGAUACCGUCGAUCAUAAUAUUUUAUUAGAGCGUAUCAAAACACGUAUUGGUAUGUCAGACUUAGCUUUGUCGUGGUUUAACUCUUAUCUUACUGACAGGAUGCAAUGCGUCUCCCAUAAUAAUGUGACCUCGGACUAUGUUAAGGUAACGUGCGGAGUUCCUCAGGGUUCGGUUCUUGGCCCUGCACUCUUUAGUAUUUACAUGCUGCCGCUAGGCGACAUCAUACGCAAAUACGGUGUUAGCUUUCAUUGCUAUGCUGAUGACACCCAACUCUACAUGCCCCUAAAGCUGACCAACACGCCGGAUUGUAGUCAGCUGGAGGCGUGUCUUAAUGAAAUUAAACAAUGGAUGUCCGCUAACUUCUUGCAACUCAACGCCAAGAAAACGGAAAUGCUGAUUAUCGGUCCUGCUAAACACCGACAUUUAUUUAAUAAUACCACCUUAACAUUUGACAACCAAACAAUUACACACGGCGAAUUAGUAAAGAAUCUGGGUAUUAUCUUCGACCCAACUCUCUCGUUUGAAUCACACAUUAAGAGUGUUACUAAAACGGCCUUCUUUCAUCUCCGUAAUAUCGCUAAAAUUCGUUCUAUUUUAUCCACUAGCGACGCUGAGAUCAUUAUUCAUGCGUUCGUUACGUCUCGU